rnacentral:rRNA from 1 species
UACAGGGGGGGGCAAGCGUUGUUCGGAAUUACUGGGCGUAAAGGGCCAGUAGGCGGCCAACUAAGUCCGACGUGAAAUCCCCAGGCUUAACCUGGGAACUGCGUCGGAUACUGGAUGGCUAGAGAUCGGGAGAGGAGCGUGGAAUUCCCAGUGUAGAGGUGAAAUUCGUAGAUAUUGGGAAGAACACCGGUGGCGAAGGCGGCGCUCUGGACCGAGACUGACGCUGAGGCGCGAAAAGCGUGGGGAGCAAACAGG